GCCGAGAUGGCGGAACUGGUAGACGCGCUGGACUCAAAAUCCAGUUGUAGAAAUGCAGUAAGAGUUCGAUUCUCUUUCUCGGCACCA
rnacentral:tRNA from 1 species